rnacentral:rRNA from 1 species
UACGAGGGGGGCAAGCGUUGUUCGGAAUUAUUGGGCGUAAAGGGCGCGUAGGCGGUUUGACAAGUCUGAUGUGAAAUCUAUGGGCUCAACCCAUAGCCUGCAUUAGAAACUGUCGGGCUUGAGUAUGGGAGAGGUGAGUGGAAUUUCCGGUGUAGCGGUGAAAUGCGCAGAUAUCGGGAGGAACACCAAUGGCGAAGGCAGCUCGCUGGGACGUUACUGACGCUGAGACGCGAAAGCGUGGGGAGCAAACAGG